rnacentral:rRNA from 1 species
CAUGUCGAACGCGAAAGUUCCCUUCGGGGGGCAAGUAGAGUGGCGCACGGGUGAGUAACACGUAGGUAAUCUACCUUUGGAUUGGGAAUAACCACCGGAAACGGUGGCUAAUACCGAAUAAUGCAGCGGCACCUAAUGGUGACAGUUGUUAAAGCGGGGGAUCGCAAGACCUCGCGUCUGAAGAGGAGCCUGCGGCAGAUUAGCUAGUUGGUAAGGUAACGGCUUACCAAGGCGAUGAUCUGUAGCCGGCCUGAGAGGGCGGUCGGCCACACUGACACUGACAUACGGGUCAGACUCCUACGGGAGGCAGCAGUCGGGAAUUUUGGGCAAUGGGCGAAAGCCUGACCCAGCAACGCCGCGUGAAGGAUGAAAUCCUUCGGGAUGUAAACUUCGCAAGAACGGGAAGAAUAAGUAAGAGUUAAUAUCUCUUAUGAUGACGGUACUGUUUGUAAGCUCCGGCUAACUCCGUGCCAGCAGCCGCGGUAAUACGGGGGGAGCAAGCGUUGUUCGGAUUUACUGGGCGUAAAGGGCGCGUAGGCGGCACCGCAAGUCGACUGUGAAAUCUCCGGGCUUAACCCGGAAAGGUCAGCCGAUACUGCGGGGCUAGAGUGCAGAAGGGGCAACUGGAAUUCUCGGUGUAGCGGUGAAAUGCGUAGAUAUCGAGAGGAACACCUGCGGCGAAGGCGGGUUGCUGGGCUGACACUGACGCUGAUGCGCGAAAGCUAGGGGAGCGAACGGGAUUAGAUACCCCGGUAGUCCUAGCCUUAAACGAUGAAUGCUUGGUGUCUGGGGUUUUAUAGUCCCCGGGUGCCGUCGCUAACGCUUUAAGCAUUCCGCCUGGGGAGUACGGUCGCAAGGCUGAAACUCAAAGGAAUUGACGGGGACCGCACAAGCGGUGGA